rnacentral:ncRNA from 2 species
CUCUUAUCAAGAGAGGUGGAGGGACUGGCCCGAUGAAACCCGGCAACCGCUAAGUAUUUUUUACUUAGGAAGGUGCCAAUUCCUGCAGAGCUGGAGGCUUUGAAAGAUGAGAU